rnacentral:rRNA from 2 species
UCUGGUGUCAGCCGCCGCGGUAAAACCAGCACCUCAAGUGGUCAGGAUGAUUAUUGGGCCUAAAGCAUCCGUAGCCGGCGCUGUAAGUUUUCGGUUAAAUCUGUACGCUCAACGUACAGGCUGCCGGGAAUACUGCAGCGCUAGGGAGUGGGAGAGGUAGACGGUACUCGGUAGGAAGGGGUAAAAUCCUUUGAUCUAUUGAUGACCACCUGUGGCGAAGGCGGUCUACCAGAACACGUCCGACGGUGAGGGAUGAAAGCUGGGGGAGCAAACCGGAUUAGAUACCCGGGUAGUCCCAGCUGUAAACUAUGCAAACUCAGUGAUGCAUUGGCUUGUGGCCAAUGCAGUGCUGCAGGGAAGCCGUUAAGUUUGCCGCCUGGGAAGUACGUACGCAAGUAUGAAACUUAAAG